UAAUACAUAAGUAACCUGCCCUAGACAGGGGGAUAACUAUUGGAAACGAUAGCUAAGACCGCAUAGGUACGGACACUGCAUGGUGACCGUAUUAAAAGUGCCUCAAAGCACUGAUAGAGGAUGGACUUAUGGCGCAUUAGCUGGUUGGCGGGGUAACGGCCCACCAAGGCGACGAUGCGUAGCCGACCUGAGAGGGUGACCGGCCACACUGGGACUGAGACGCGGCCCAG
rnacentral:rRNA from 1 species